rnacentral:rRNA from 1 species
UAGGGAAUUUUCCGCAAUGGGCGCAAGCCUGACGGAGCAACGCCGCGUGAGCGAGGACGGCCUUCGGGUUGUAAAGCUCUGUUCUUCGGGAAGAAUGACGGGAGGGCGAACAACUCUUCCGUUUGACGGUACCGAAGGAGAAAGCCCCGGCUAACUACGUGCCAGCAGCCGCGGUAAUACGUAGGGGGCGAGCGUUGUCCGGAAUUAUUGGGCGUAAAGCGCGCGUAGGCGGCCGGUUAA